rnacentral:rRNA from 1 species
AUUGAACGCUGGCGGCAUGCCUUACACAUGCAAGUCGAACGGCAGCACGGGAGCAAUCCUGGUGGCGAGUGGCGAACGGGUGAGUAAUGUAUCGGAACGUGCCCAGUCGUGGGGGAUAACGUAGCGAAAGCUACGCUAAUACCGCAUACGACCUGAGGGUGAAAGCGGGGGAUCGCAAGACCUCGCGCUAUUGGAGGGGCCGAUAUCAGAUUAGCUAGUUGGUGGGGUAAAAGCCUACCAAGGCGACGAUCUGUAGCUGGUCUGAGAGGACGACCAGCCACACUGGGACUGAGACACGGCCCAGACUCCUACGGGAGGCAGCAGUGGGGAAUUUUGGACAAUGGGCGCAAGCCUGAUCCAGCCAUGCCGCGUGCGGGAAGAAGGCCUUCGGGUUGUAAACCGCUUUUGUCAGGGAAGAAACGCGCUGAGCUAAUACCUCGGCGUAAUGACGGUACCUGAAGAAUAAGCACCGGCUAACUACGUGCCAGCCGCCGCCGUAA